CCUACGGGUGGCUGCAGUGGGGAAUAUUGGACAAUGGGCGAAAGCCUGAUCCAGCCAUGCCGCGUGUGUGAAGAAGGCCUUCGGGUUGUAAAGCACUUUCAGUGGGGAAGAAAGCCUUGGGGCUAAUACCCUCGAGGAAGGACAUCACCCACAGAAGAAGCACCGGCUAACUCCGUGCCAGCAGCCGCGGUAAUACGGAGGGUGCGAGCGUUAAUCGGAAUUACUGGGCGUAAAGCGCGCGUAGGCGGUCUGAUAAGCCGGUUGUGAAAGCCCCGGGCUCAACCUGGGAACGGCAUCCGGAACUGUCAGGCUAGAGUGCAGGAGAGGAAGGUAGAAUUCCCGGUGUAGCGGUGAAAUGCGUAGAGAUCGGGAGGAAUACCAGUGGCGAAGGCGGCCUUCUGGACUGACACUGACGCUGAGGUGCGAAAGCGUGGGUAGCAAACAGGAUUAGAUACCCGGGUAGUC
rnacentral:rRNA from 1 species